GACGAACGCUGGCGGCGUGCUUAACACAUGCAAGUCGAACGGGAUCCGGGCUUUCGGGUUUGGUGAGAGUGGCGAACGGGUGAGUAACACGUGAGUAACCUGCCCCCUUCUUUGGGAUAACGUCGGGAAAUCGGCGCUAAUACUGGAUAUUCUUGCUGCAUCGCAUGGUGUGGUUUGGAAAGGGUUUCUGGUGGGGGAUGGGCUCGCGGCCUAUCAGCUUGUUGGUGGGGUGAUGGCCUACCAAGGCUUUGACGGGUAGCCGGCCUGAGAGGGUGUCCGGCCACACCGGGACUGAGACACGGCCCAGACUCCUACGGGAGGCAGCAGUGGGGAAUAUUGCACAAUGGGCGCAAGCCUGAUGCAGCGACGCCGCGUGAGGGAUGACGGCCUUCGGGUUGUAAACCUCUUUCAGUAUGGAACAAGGAUCCUUCUUUUGGGGGGUUUGAGGGUACGUGCAGAAGAAGCGCCGGCUAACUACGUG
rnacentral:rRNA from 1 species